AUGCCAGUCCCCUCAUCACCUCUUCCCAAUGCCCCUCCUCCCAAUGCCACUGCAUGGGGGCCCAAGCAUCCGACCCCUGAACCCCGGGGGCACACUCCACCCACAGCCCCGGGGAACAACGAGGGAUUGGCUGACAUGAUCUAUCUUACUCUCAAAUAUCAUGUUCUCUACUUCGUGUUUCCUACAGAUGCCAGUGGACACAGGGAAAAAUUGGCUACCACCCCUUCACUGCCUCUGGCAGGGACCUCAAAUCCAUCAGUGUCCAGUGUGAAUGCGUGGUGGCCGGCACUGCCACCCCGAGACUCCGGGACGGGACCAGCCCCACACACCCAACCAACGCGUGCCGACGGGGGCCGCGCCACUGUCUGCAGGCUGGGGGAUGUCAGCCCAGCUGCCGCCCCUGUGUGCAGGCCUCGCCCGCAGUGGACGGUGAGUUGGCUCGUUCCAGCGACCACGUAGCUGCACCUGCACUGACGCCGGACCUCACGCCUCCCUCUCCAAGUGCUUCCCCGGCCUGGUGUGUUUCUGAGCUUUCCGGAGCGCACCCCACGUGCGGGAUAAACGGUGCUCAGCUGGGGCUUGUCCCACCUGCUCUGAGCAGAGACUGCACCGUUCACGCACCCUUCCCACUGGACCGUAAGCUACGAGGGCACAGGGAAUCCUGCAGAGACAUUUCCCUCCUGCCCCAAAGUCCUCUCGAGACCGUGGUGAACAUAAGCGAAGGAUUCCACAGCCGUGCUACCAUGCCUGGCCCCUGGGCCCACGCCUGCUGGAGCGCAGUUCUGCUCCCGCCCUCUGAUGCACCCCUGGCCGUCAAGACCGCCCAGCUCCCCUUCCGGCACCCUGCCCCCAGUUAGAUGGCAGGUCCUCCUCUCCACCUGUCACACUGCUGUUGACAAGCAAGUUGCCUGUGGGAGUCAGGGCAAAGUGCUGGGUCAGCCAAGGCCCCCGAAACCCACUCGCUGGCCACCACUUACCCCAGUGCCCCCCAGUAAGUGCAGUUGUUGAGAGUGAUCCUGACACUUCCUCC
rnacentral:lncRNA from 1 species